AGGGGAGCUUUCUGUCUAUGUGAACUCUUUUGCAAUUCUUACAAAAUCUCUACUGCCCUUGCCAGACAAAUAUCAUGGUCUAACUCAUGUGGAUAAGCGUUACCGGCAACGGUUCCGAAGGCCCAAGUUGUUGGUGUUAAAAGUUUGUGCUUUUCCCCAAAUUUCCAAAUGGUUUAAAGUGUUUAGAUGAGGUUCAGUCAUAUAUCCUCGUUGAAAGAUCUUUGGAGAAGUACAAUGUUGUUCUUGACUCUAUAGUUCAAGACUUUCCUCACGUGGUAUUGCUUCAAUACUACAUUGAAC